rnacentral:rRNA from 1 species
GAGUUUGAUCCUGGCUCAGGAUGAACGCUGGCGGCGUGCCUAACACAUGCAAGUCGAACGAAGCGCCUUUUAAGAUUCUUCGGAUGAUUGAUUGGUGACUGAGUGGCGGACGGGUGAGUAACGCGUGGGUAACCUGCCCUGUACAGGGGGAUAACAGUUGGAAAUGACUGCUAAUACCGCAUAAGCGCACAGAACCGCAUGGUUCGGUGUGAAAAACUCCGGUGGUAUAAGAUGGACCCGCGUUGGAUUAGCUAGUUGGCAGGGCAGCGGCCUACCAAGGCGACGAUCCAUAGCCGGCCUGAGAGGGUGAACGGCCACAUUGGGACUGAGACACGGCCCAGACUCCUACGGGAGGCAGCAGUCGGGAAUAUUGCGCAAUGGAGGAAACUCUGACGCAGUGACGCCGCGUAUAGGAAGAAGGUUUUCGGAUUGUAAACUAUUGUCGUUAGGGAAGAUACAAGACAGUACCUAAGGAGGAAGCUCCGGCUAACUACGUGCCAGCCGCCGCGGUAAUUC